UNUGGACGAGAGUCUGAACCAGCCAGUAGCGUGAAGGAUGACUGCCCUAUGGGUUGUAAACUUCUUUUAUACGGGAAUAAAGUGAGGCACGUGUGCCUUUUUGUAUGUACCGUAUGAAUAAGGAUCGGCUAACUCCGUGCCAGCAGCCGCGGUAAUACGGAGGAUCCGAGCGUUAUCCGGAUUUAUUGGGUUUAAAGGGAGCGUAGGCGGACGCUUAAGUCAGUUGUGAAAGUUUGCGGCUCAACCGUAAAAUUGCAGUUGAUACUGGGUGUCUUGAGUACAGUAGAGGCAGGCGGAAUUCGUGGUGUAGCGGUGAAAUGCUUAGAUAUCACGAAGAACUCCGAUUGCGAAGGCAGCCUGCUGGACUGUAACUGACGCUGAUGCUCGAAAGUGUGGGUAUCAAACAGGAUUAGAUACCCUGGUAGUCCAAGGGCGAAUUC
rnacentral:rRNA from 1 species